GACGAACGCUGGCGGCGUGCUUAACACAUGCAAGUCGAACGGAAAGGCCCUGCUUUUGUGGGGUGCUCGAGUGGCGAACGGGUGAGUAACACGUGAGUAACCUGCCCUUGACUUUGGGAUAACUUCAGGAAACUGGGGCUAAUACCGGAUAUGAGCUCCUGCUGCAUGGUGGGGGGUGGAAAGUUUCGGCGGUUGGGGAUGGACCCGCGGCUUAUCAGCUUGUUGGUGGGGUAGUGGCUUACCAAGGCUCUGACGGGUAGCCGGCCUGAGAGGGUGACCGGCCACAUUGGGACUGAGAUACGGCCCAGACUCCUACGGGAGGCAGCAGUGGGGAAUAUUGCACAAUGGGCGGAAGCCUGAUGCAGCAACGCCGCGUGCGGGAUGACGGCCUUCGGGUUGUAAACCGCUUUCGCCUGUGACGAAGCGUAAGUGACGGUAAUGGGUAAAGAAGCACCGGCUAACUACGUG
rnacentral:rRNA from 1 species